rnacentral:rRNA from 1 species
GAGAUCGGGAUAACACCUGGAAACAGAUGCUAAUACCGGAUAACAACAGAUGAUGCCUAUCAACUGUUUAAAAGAUGGUUCUGCUAUCACUCUUGGAUGGACCUGCGGUGCAUUAGCUAGUUGGUAGGGUAACGGCCUACCAAGGCGAUGAUGCAUAGCCGAGUUGAGAGACUGAUCGGCCACAUUGGGACUGAGACACGGCCCAAACUCCUACGGGAGGCAGCAGUU